GGGGUGGUGGCGCAGUUGGUUACCGCGUAGGUCUCAUAAUCCUGAGGUCGAGAGUUCGAGCCUCUCUCACCCCA
rnacentral:ncRNA from 15 species